rnacentral:rRNA from 1 species
AGGUAAGCUACUAAGAGCGAAUGGUGGAUGCCUUGACUGGUAAAGGCGAUGAAGGACGUACUAGACUGCGAUAAGCUACGGGGAGCUGUCAAGAAGCUUUGAUCCGUAGAUUUCCGAAUGGGGCAACCCAAUGUAUAGAGAUAUGCAUUACCUAUAUAGGAGCGAACGAGGGGAAUUGAAACAUCUUAGUACCCUCAGGAAAAGAAAUCAAUAGAGAUUGCGUCAGUAGCGGCGAGCGAAAGCGCAAGAGGGCAAACCCAGUGCUUGCACUGGGGGUUGUAGGACUGCAAUGUGCAAGAGGUAAGUUUAGCAGAACAUUCUGGAAAGUAUAACCAUAGAGGGUGAUAGUCCCGUAUGCGAAAAACAAACCUUAGCUAGCAGUAUCCUGAGUAGGGCGGGACACGAGGAAUCCUGUCUGAAUCCGGGUCGACCACGAUCCAACCCUAAAUACUAAUACCAGAUCGAUAGUGCACAAGUACCGUGAGGGAAAGGUGAAAAGAACUGAGGUGAUCAGAGUGAAAUAGAACCUGAAACCAUUUGCUUACAAUCAUUCAGAGCCCUAUGUAGGAAUACAGGGUGAUGGACUGCCUUUUGCAUAAUGAGCCUGCGAGUUGUGGUGUCUGGCAAGGUUAAGCAAACGCGAAGCCGUAGCGAAAGCGAGUCUGAAUAGGGCGCUUAGUCAGAUGCUGCAGACCCGAAACGAAGUGAUCUAUCCAUGAGCAAGUUGAAGCUAGUGUAAGAACUAGUGGAGGACUGAACCCAUAGGCGUUGAAAAGCCCCGGGAUGACUUGUGGAUAGGGGUGAAAGGCCAAUCAAACUUCGUGAUAGCUGGUUCUCUCCGAAAUAUAUUUAGGUAUAGCGUUGUGUCGUAAUAUAAGGGGGUAGAGCACUGAAUGGGCUAGGGCAUACACCAAUGUACCAAACCCUAUCAAACUCCGAAUACCUUAUAUGUAAUCACAGCAGUCAGGCGGCGAGUGAUAAAAUCCGUCGUCAAGAGGGAAACAACCCAGACUACCAGCUAAGGUCCCUAAAUCUUACUUAAGUGGAAAACGAUGUGAAGUUACUUAAACAACCAGGAGGUUGGCUUAGAAGCAGCCAUCCUUUAAAGAAAGCGUAAUAGCUCACUGGUCUAGUGAUUUUGCGCGGAAAAUAUAACGGGGCUAAAGU